UAAAAAAUAACCCUCAGUGCCUUCACUC
rnacentral:piRNA from 1 species